rnacentral:lncRNA from 1 species
AGAGAUGCAAAAUAGAAAUCUUUAUACAAGAUAAAAUUAAAGGAUUAAAAUAAAUGGAUGAUUUAUCAUAAUUAAUUUUUUGAUCUAAAUAAUAAUAGUAAGUAUCAAUGAUGGUUGCCAGCACAAUAGCAUCUCUUAUCUAGGCUCGAGCAACCAAGACACUGUCGUCGGUAUAGAAUAUAUGUGAAAUAGAAAGGCCC